GUAGAUGCAAAAUAGAUCAUAUUUGAUAGUAAUAAUUGUUGAUUUAGAAACUUUAUUAUUAAAAACAAAUCAGCAGUAAUUAAGCCCUUUGCUACUAGUAGUAUUCUAAUCCAACUCUCUCUCUCUCUCUCUCUAUAUAUAUAUAUAUAUAUAAUUAGAUCGAAAUACUUCUAAUAGAACCAAGUAAUUAGUGCUAUUGGAUUUUCGGCUUUUGGAUGAAAAAAUGUGCAGUUAAGAUAAUAGUGGUCUAUUAGUGUUGAGUGGAUAGUAAUUGGUUGAAUAGUAUGACCUAACGGAUGAAAACAAUCAAAAAAUAAAUUUAAUGGUGAAAAUUUUGAUAGCACCAAACAUAUAAUGCUUUUAGAAGCACCCAAUCGGAUUCUCUCUCUCUCUCUCUAUAUAUAUUUUAGAAGCACCCAGUCGGAUUCUCUCUCUCUCUCUCUCUCUCUAUAUAUAUAUAUAUAUAUUCUAAAUAGUAGAAGUAUAAUAUGAUAUCAAAAUCAAUUAUAUAUACCUCUCAAUUUUCAUAGGAUGAUAUAGAUUUAAUCUUCCGUAUUUACCAUUCAAUAAGUUAAAUUCUUAUCAUUUACUUCUUUUGUUAAAUUAGUAUUCUUUCAUGCAGACCGAUUGUUUUUAUAAUGACAAAGAAUUUGGUGGUUGAUAUUCAAAGUCUCAAGUCCAAAUUCUAAUUGAUUUAUAUUUUCAACUAAAUUUAUUUUUAAAUAAAUAAAUGAAAAAAAUAGUAUACCACAUUUCUCUUUCAAAAAAAAAAAAAAAAUCUCUCACGCACUUAUGCUUUCUCUGGAAGACAUGGACUGGCAACAGAGAGAGAGAGGACGGUCCUACAGAAGAUGAUUGUAGGGGACAUUGCCUAAUCAGAAUGGCACUGAAGUUGAGAAAUCCAAGACAAGAACCAAAUGAUUCUCCUAUAAUAUUUUCAGCAGAUGGUACUAGUCCUUUGUACAGUUGCCAGCAGCAACUUUAGAAAAAGAAUUUUUUUUAGGUAAAAAUAAUAUACUAUCUGUUCCGUUCAUAUUUUUUUUAAAUAAAUUUAAUUUAAAAUAUAAAGUAAUUAGACUUAGAAUUUGAGAUCUCUGAUACUAAGUAUCAAGCCCUUCGCUACUUAUAUUAUAAACUGUCAUUUUUUUUUAUUAAGAUAUAAAUAUUGUAUACUGUCUAUCUUGUUCCUUUUUUAUAUAUAAAAAUAAAUUUAGUUGGAAAUGUAAAGCAACUAGAUUGUGAAUUUGAAACUCCGAGUAUCAACCAUCAAAUCUUUUAUCACUUGUCCUAGAAUUAGCCGGUUAUAAUUUUUUUUUUUG
rnacentral:lncRNA from 1 species